UACGGAGGGGCUAGCGUUGAUUCGGAAUUACUGGGCGUAAAGCGCACGUAGGCGGCUUUGUAAGUAGAGGUGAAAGCCCAGAGCUCAACUCUGGAAUUGCCUUUUAGACUGCAUCGCUUGAAUCAUGGAGAGGUCAGUGGAAUUCCGAGUGUAGAGGUGAAAUUCGUAGAUAUUCGGAAGAACACCAGUGGCGAAGGCGGCUGACUGGACAUGUAUUGACGCUGAGGUGCGAAAGCGUGGGGAGCAAACAGG
rnacentral:rRNA from 1 species